rnacentral:tRNA from 1 species
ACGACCGUAGCUCAGUUGGUUAGAGCACUACCUUGACAUGGUAGGGGUCGGNGUGGUUCGAAUCCACUCGGUCGUACCA